CAGCAGCAACCUCAACAACAAGCACCUUCUUUCUUUCCAAUUGUACAACAGCAGCAACCUCAGCAACAACAACCUUCUCUCUUUCCACUUGCACAGCAACAACAAUCUCAGCAGCAACAACCUUCUCUAUAUCCACCUACGCAGCAACAGCAGCCUCAGCAACAACCACCUUCUCUCUAUCCAUUUGCCCAAAGACAACAGCCUCAACAACAACAAGCUUCUCUCUUUCCAUCUAUACAACAACAGCAACCUCAGCAACAACAAACUUUUCUCUUUCCAGGUGCUGAUAAUCUCUCUACAACUCAACAGCUUAACCAGCCGGUU
rnacentral:lncRNA from 1 species